ensembl:snRNA U6 U6 spliceosomal RNA
GUGCUCACUUCGGCAGCACAUAUUAUUAAAAUUGGAACAAUACAGAGAAAAAUAGCAUGGUCCCUGCACAAGGAUGGCAUGCAAAUUUUUGAAGCAUUCCCUAUUUUU